rnacentral:rRNA from 1 species
UACGUAGGUGGCGAGCGUUAUCCGGAUUUACUGGGCGUAAAGCGCGUGCAGGAGACAAUACAAGUUGGAUGUAAAAUCUCCCGGCUUAACUGGGAGGCGUCGUUCAAGACUGUAUAGCUGGAGUAGCGUAGAGGUAAUCGGAACUCCGGGAGUAGCGGUGAAAUGCGUAGAUAUCCGGAAGAACACCAGAGGCGAAAGCGGAUUACUGGGCGCCAACUGACACUAAGACGCGAAAGCCAGGGUAGCAAAC